rnacentral:rRNA from 1 species
GAUGAACGCUGGCGGCGUGCCUAAUACAUGCAAGUCGAGCGAACAGACGAGGCGUUUGCUUCUCUGACGUGACCGGCGGACGGGUGAUUCACACGUGGCUAACUUACCUAUAAGGCUGGGGUCACUUCGGGGACGCUGAUCUCACACCGGUUAAUAUGUUGAACCGCAUGGUUCAUUAGUCAAAACCCGAUUUGCUGACCCUUGGUCGGAUUAGCUAGUUGGUUUGGUAAGGGCCUACCAAGGCGACGAUCCGUAGCAGGUCUGAGAGGCUGAUCAGACACACUGGAACUGAGACACGGUCCAGACUCCUACGGGAGGCAGCAGUAGGGAAUCUUGCGCAAUGGGCGAAAGCCUGACGGAGCAACGCCGCGUGAGUGAUGAAGGUCUUCGGAUCGUAAAGCUCUGUUAGUAGGGAAGAACAAAAGUGUAUGUAACUAUGGCUGUCUUGACGGUACCAACACAGAAAGCCACGGCUAACUACGUG